rnacentral:rRNA from 1 species
UACGUAGGGUGCAAGCGUUAAUCGGAAUUACUGGGCGUAAAGCGUGCGCAGGCGGUUAUGUAAGACAGGUGUGAAAUCCCCGGGCUUAACCUGGGAACUGCAUUUGUGACUGCAUAGCUAGAGUACGGUAGAGGGGGAUGGAAUUCCGCGUGUAGCAGUGAAAUGCGUAGAUAUCUGGAGGAAUACCGGUGGCGAAGGCGGCAUCCUGGACCGGCAUUGACGCUGAGGAGCGAAAGCGUGGGGAGCAAACAGG